AUGUGAAUCAUCGAAUCUUUAGAACGCACAUUGCGCCCUAUGGUAUUCCAUAGGGCAUGCCUGUUUGAGCGUCAUUUCUCUCUCAAACCUUUGGGUUUGGUAGUGAGUGAUACUCGUCUCGGGUUAACUUGAAAGUGGCUAGCCGUUGCCAUCUGCGUGAGCAGGGCUGCGUGUCAAGUCUAUGGACUCGACUCUUGCACAUCUACGUCUUAGGUUUGCGCCAAUUCGUGGUAAGCUUGGGUCAUAGAGACUCAUAGGUGUUAUAAAGACUCGCUGGUGUUUGUCUCCUUGAGGCAUACGGCUUUAACCAAAACUCUCAAAGUUUGACCUCAAAUCAGGUAGGACUACCCGCUGAACUUAAGCUUAUCAAUAAGCGGAGGAAUCUGCUGAAAAUACGCAGUAGCCGACAGAGG
rnacentral:rRNA from 1 species